UACGUAGGGUCCGAGCGUUGUCCGGAAUUACUGGGCGUAAAGAGCUCGUAGGUGGUUUGUCGCGUUGUUCGUGAAAACUCACAGCUCAACUGUGGCGUGCGGGCGAUACGGGCAGACUAGAGUACUGCAGGGGAGACUGGAAGUUCUGGUGUAGCGGUGGAAUGCGCAGAUAGUCAGGAGGAACACCGGUGGCGAAGGCGGGUCUCUGGGCAGUAACUGACGCUGGAGGAGCGAAAGCGUGGGGAGCGAACAGG
rnacentral:rRNA from 1 species